GAUGAACGCUGGCGGCGUGCCUAAUACAUGCAAGUCGAACGGACGAGCGGGAGGCUGGCUUGCCUGAUGUUUGCCGAAGACGUGUGAGUAACACGUGGAUAACCUACCUAUCAGACGGGUAUGACUUCGGAAAGCCGGCGCUAAUACCAUAUGAUAUUUUGAACCACAUUGAUCAGAUGGGAAAGACUGUCUUGAUGUCACUGAUAGAUGGAUACGCGCUGCAUUAGCUGGUUGGUAAGGUAAUAGCUUACGACGGCAACGAUGCAUGACCGACGUCAUAGGCUGAUCGGCCACACGGGAACGGAGACACGGUCAAGACUCCUACGGGAGGCAGCAGUAGGGAAUCGGCCGCAAUGGGCGAAAGCAUGACGGAGCAACGGAGCGCGAGUGACGACGGUGUUCGGUUCGUAAAAAUCUGUUACUAGGUAAGAACAUAUGUGAACGUAACUGAGCAGAUCUUGACGGUACCUAAUCAGAAAGCCACGGCUAACUACGUG
rnacentral:rRNA from 1 species